UACGAAGGGGGCUAGCGUUGCUCGGAAUGACUGGGCGUAAAGGGCGUGUAGGCGGAUGGCACAGUCAGAUGUGAAAUUCCCGGGCUUAACCUGGGGGCUGCAUUUGAUACGUGUUGUCUAGAGUGAGGAAGAGGGUUGUGGAAUUCCCAGUGUAGAGGUGAAAUUCGUAGAUAUUGGGAAGAACACCGGUGGCGAAGGCGGCAACCUGGUCCUUGACUGACGCUGAGGCGCGAAAGCGUGGGGAGCAAACAGG
rnacentral:rRNA from 1 species